CUAUGCCUUUGGUCCAACACAGAUUAAUAGAUGUAGACCGCGUCACUGCAUGCAAGAGACAGCUGAUGAGAUGUAGGAGCUGAGGUGCCAGUUUAAUGCAUUGCAAUAGACUCAAAAACCUUAAUAUUGUUGUGAUCUGCUGUCCUAGGUCAUACUUCUAGCAAGCGGCCAGGGUGAAAGAUUUCCCGUGAACUGAAUGAUUAACAUGGUCUAUAAAAUCUAAUAUGUAGCUUUGGCACCAAUAUAUACUAGGCUGUAUCUUCUCUGUAUUAAUAGAUAAACAAAAGGUGGAUAUUGGGUUCCUCAUUUACAAGGCACAUAACACAAUAAGGGGGAGGGAUAAAUUUAGUUUCGGAUCUACACGUUUUUCAUAAGAUGCAUUUGAAUUUUGCAAAUUUCUCUUUACAGCAAUCUCAGGACAGAGAUGAUAAGACAGAAUCAGUCAUCUACAGCCCUUUGUUAGACUAUUCUAAAGGCCUCUGUGUGCAGCUACAUGUCCAGUCCUGUUCUAAUCGGCCAUGAACUUGAAAUCGAUGGCCCUGAGUGAUGAGAUCACAGACGGGCCAUUAGGCAGCUGAAACCGGCUAGUUUACGUUUCAGUGAACAUUUCAGACAGAGUUAGGGUGUGAGCCUGUCAUGUAUUUCCUCUUAGGGCAUAAACAAAAGAACACAAUAGUUUCACAGAUAACUGCGCCGACUCUAGUCAGUGGAAAGUUACUGAGUGCAGUGUCAUCACGCAUUGCUGCUACAGACACUAAUGCAACAAGUCAGCGAUGUCCAAACUUGUGUAUAACCUCCCUCAGUUUAUAACACCCCUAUUGAAAUGGUUAUAGUCCCAUGUCAUCAGUUUAGCUUCUUGUUCCCUUAACGCCCUAUAAGCAAUAUUUUAAAUCCCAACUGCUUUAACCUUACUCAGGUCUUUCAAUGCAAUGUUUGGACCCACCACCAAUACUUCGUUAGAUUACCCAUUAAUAAGGGAUUUUAUAUAGUGAAAUCCCUUACAUAAUAUAGAUUCACAUUUACUGAUAGAAUGUCCUUAAGCAAUGCAAGACUUCAGUUAUGUAACCAACAUUACUGUUAUAUUUCACUGCAUUAGGAGAUGUUAAUCCAGAGACUCCCUUUAACACUGUAGAGUAUAUGAUCUGUAUAGAGUUUGUGGGAGUUGCAUGCACCCCACCUCUAGUCAGUUGGUCUUAGCCGGCAGUACUUUCCCCCAAGUUGGAUGCAGCAACCACAUGAUGACGUCAAACUGCAUUGCCUGCUAAGUGGUACCCAAACAGCAGACCCAUUACUCUUUAUAUGGUCUGCUGGCUAAGUAUGGUGUUUGCCAGACAAAUCUCAGUACAUGUGCUGUAGAUGUGAGGAUGGUGUUUAGGAGGGUUCCACUGACCUACAAAGUCACUUGGUUAUAAGCUAUAAAAGCCUAUACUGAAGAUUGAUUGGCUUGUGAGAGGAACAGUUCUAAUAGUCGAAUCUCAAACAUGUAUUAGCUAGUACAGAGGAAUGUAAAAGUAAAAACAACGAUGUAUAGAUAACUCCCCCCUCUUCACAUUAAAGUGCACCUGUCAUGUUACAGACAACAUUUGAGAGUUGUUUUGUAGACUUUAUACACAAGUUGAUCCAUAAAACAGACUAGACAUCAAUAUGGUCCACUCAACAGAAUCAUACCCCUCACUGUUGCAGUCUCCUCUCCAAUAACAUUGUACAAAUUAUGAAGUCCCAAGGAAGAUGCUCUGAGACAGCUAGAGAUCUAGUCUUUGAAGAUCCUUCCAUUCACGCACGGUGACAGUAGUGUACACAGUGUGAAAAAUGGCUACAAAGCCAACAGUUGUGAUUGAUUGCAAUUGUCAACAUGAGUUCAUACCAGCUAUAUGUGCUGGUUGUGUCUUUCAAUAAAGAAGACAGAACAGGCGCUACUGUUACACAUGACAUAGGGGUUGUCAGUUGAAUAAAAGGACAACAUAUUUGGCUGAUAACAGGUCAUGAGGAACUACACCAACGGGUAGUGUUCUAAAUUUACAUCCCACCAGGCUCAGCCAGCAACGAAAGACCUCAUCUCAAUGGUAAGUGUGCUUACACAAGAUACAGGAAACUAGUAGCGUCAGAUGGUUUUGCCAACUUUUACAUAGGCUUGGAGAUAUUUCAUUGAAUGGUAGAGUCAGGAGAACCAGAAACCAGGUCAAACACAAGGGGCAUAACCUGACUAUUACUGUGGUGUUAAAGAAAAAGGGUCACAUUGAAGAACGUUAAGCAGGUUCAUAAAGUUAACUGCGGCCUAGGGUCAAAGCAAAAAUGACUACGUGUGACAGUCACCAUCACUGGGAGCAGAAGAUGGACACUUUACGUAGGUCCCAGAAUUAUCCUUAUGUUUUAGUCACCCGGUGCCCAUUAUAUGUGCAGAUUGUGUAAUGCAAUUCUGCAAGCAGGGGAGAUAUUUUGUGUUAUUUAUAAGGGGAUGGGAAGACAAUAACUAGGUUAUUGUGUUAAUACGACUUCCUGUACGUUUCCCUAUAUCAUUUGUUUUUUUUUAUUAAUUUUAUCAUCGUAAGUUUGAUGUAAUGACAGACUAGCCCAGAGAAGAAGAAAAAAAACAAAAAACAAAGUGUGUCAGUUCCAUUGGGAACGGUGUCCUGGUUCGUUUAUUUGGGGAUCCCAGGAACAGUCUUUGGACUUGUUGCUUGGUCCCAGAUUCAUGGGACAAGUUAAAAAGAGCUAGGCCUGAGAGACAAGUUCCUUCGUAAAGUCAGUAGCUAGAGAGGCAGCUGGGACAAUACCAGCCUGGAAAGAGCUGUACCCUGUUUCAGAGUGGAAAAGUUCUCAGAAACCCCAGUCAAACUUUAGCAACUGGGGAUAAAGUGCUCCAGGAUUCCCAGUAGCAGCUGGGAAGUUAACUUGGCAGAGGUUCUCAGUUAGAGUACAGGAGUUCUGUCAGUCCUCUUAUUGAAGAUCACACCACCAAUACAGUCACUCAAAGCAAUAAAGAUCAAAGUGUCUGUUUAUAUAAAACAGAUGCAUUAGACACAUCUACAAUACAGCCCAAGACAAGUACUAAAAUAUAUAAAUUACACAAUUUAUUACAAGGAGAGUAGGAAACCCUUUUACAUUACAUUUUAAUAAAAAAAAAAAAAAAAAAGUUAGAUUUUUCAACAAACUGCAAUUGCAGAGAUUGUAC
rnacentral:lncRNA from 1 species